CGUUGCACUAUCGUUAACUGAAUACAUAGGUUAACGAGGCGAACCGGGGGAACUGAAACAUCUAAGUACCCCGAGGAAAAGAAAUCAACCGAGAUUCCCCCAGUAGCGGCGAGCGAACGGGGAGCAGCCCAGAGUCUGAAUCAGCUUGUGUGUUAGUGGAACGGUCUGGAAAGUCCGACGGUACAGGGUGAUAGUCCCGUACACCAAAAUGCACAGGUUGUGAACUCGAAGAGUAGGGCGGGACACGUGGUAUCCUGUCUGAAUAUGGGGGGACCAUCCUCCAAGGCUAAAUACUCCUGACUGACCGAUAGUGAACCAGUACCGUGAGG
rnacentral:rRNA from 1 species